AUUGAACGCUGGCGGCAGGCCUAACACAUGCAAGUCGAACGAGUGGCGGACGGGUGAGUAAUGUCGGGGAAACUGCCCGAUGGAGGGGGAUAACUACUGGAAACGGUAGCUAAUACCGCAUACCAUCGGAUGGGCCCAGAUGGGAUUAGCUAGUGGGUGGGGUAAUGGCUCACCUAGGCGAUGGUCCCUAGCUGGUCCGAGAGGAUGACCGGCCACACUGGAACUGGGACACGCUCCAGACUCCUACGGGAGGAAGCAGUGGGGAAUAUUGCAAAAUGGGCGCAAGCCUGAUGCGGACAUGCCGCGUGGUGGAAAAGGGCCUUCGAGUUGUAAAGUACUUUCAGCAGGGAGGCGGUACUUGCAGAGAAAGCACCGGCUAACUCCGUGCCAGCAGCCGCGGUAAUAC
rnacentral:rRNA from 1 species